rnacentral:RNase_P_RNA from 1 species
AAUGGUCAUUCUAUCGCCUUCUAGCUUGCUAGAGGGAGGAAAGUCCGGGCAGCAUAGAGCGCCAUACCGUGUGAAAGCGCGGGUCCCGAUUAUUCGGGAACAGCUAGUGCCACAGAAAAUAGACUUCCCAUUUCGAUGGGUAAAGGUGAAAAGGUGGGGUAAGAGCCCACCGCUCUAAGGGUAACUAAGGAGGCUAGGCAAACCUUAUGGGCUGAAAGGUCAAAUAAACCGGAGUUAAAGUUGCUCGCUUUUCCGGAGGGUAGACUGAGUAGAUAAAUGAUAGAAGUCUACAGCAAUGUAGGAACAGAACCCGGCUUAUCGACUUUAAUUAAAA